CAACCGGAAAGCAGGCAGGAGAGGGGCUAAGAGGGUGCGUGUUAGUGGCGCAGACUUUAAUGUCCCUGCGUUAAAGAGUAGGUUAGACUAAAAUUCGGGAGGGAGGGUAGAGGCGGGCACCCGCGACGGAGGAGCGGAGUCGUGUCGGCGGUGUGUAUGGGUAGGCUCGUGCGGAGGGUAUGAGGAGAAAACUUCGGCGGCGGCUGCAGGGAUGGAGGAGGAGGCGGUCCACGUGUAGUCCCACUCCGGGACGAGGGAGAGAAGCGUUACUACCCUCUGUAGUCACCACCGGCACCUAGACCGCCGCUGCACCUGUCUAAGGAGGAGAGAGAGGGGUACAACGAGGUCGUCCACGUCGCGCGGAGCUCCACGAGCGCCCAUACCGACGUCGUUUGCGGCCAACCAGCAGAAGCUCCGACAGGUACGUACUUGGUGGAUCCGCUCGCUCGUCUCUGCUCGUUCGCAUAAGGACGUCAACUCGGAGGGGCGGAGGUUCGACACAGGAUCUACUCCAGCAGCGAGGAAGCUAGACAUGGGAUCGAGCGGAGGGAGACAUCCUCUGGAUGGAGCUGUUCCAACACCCAGCGGACGAGGUUCAUGUUCCUGCGUCCACUCCAUCCGCUGUGCUACGACGUGUACCACCGCAGCUACGACCUCAGGGACUUACUGAUAUAUCGAGAAAUAAUAGAUACAACUUACUGACUUACCACUGCGAUAUGACUUAGACAAUUGAGGAGUCGGGAAGUGGUGUAACAAACAAAACUAUAAGAUAUCAUGGCCCUAAUUCAAUGGAUCUAAGUCUUCAAUGAAAUUAUCAAACCCACCGACCCAUGAAGGACAUACUUCGUAUCAAAAGAAUUUAGGGUCGAAAGAACGACGUGCAUCGACAGAGUCAAGUAUAUAUGGAUCGAUGUAAAAUGAGCAUGUAGUAUAUCCUACGUCAGGUCCAAUCCUUUUCCUCCGGAAUAUCAGGUUCUGUUAUAAAAGAGUUGAGAUCCGGUUGAAACGAUGAUUACUCUUAGUAGCUGUUCAACGUAAAAAGGAACACCCAUAAUCCUUGACAAGUUAUGAAGACAAAUUGUACGAGUUCAUUGAAACAUCGUAUUGUUCUCAGUAGAAUAGAAUACUUCAUGAAGUUUGAAACGAACAUAAGAACUCUUAAUAUAAUUCCUGGACUGUGAACCUUAGAUUAGAUAGGACUUAGAGCGUAUCCUUGCUAAAAGGUCUGACUUCUAUCAUUUCACACAUCCAGGUAAGAAUGUUCAACUGCUAGGAAGAGAACCUGUGGUUGGGACAUUAAGACAUAAACCCUUUAUGUAACAAACGCACUAACUGUCCAUUCCAUACGUUAUCGUGUCGAGAAACUUAAUGUUACCGUUAUAUAAAAUAUUCUGUUCAAUAUCAAAGAGUUCGACGUAGGAAGGGAAUCUUUUAAUUUAAAGGUUGUACCUUAUCGACGUCAACCACGGCCGUUUGUAAAAUCCAAUGUUUAAUAAAACGAAAGUUAUAAAUACACCAUAAUUGUCCACAUGUUGUUGAUCUAUCCCCCUCUCCUUAUCUCUCCCCCCUCCCCCGCCACCAAUAAAUUGUACGUACUCCUAGUAUUCAUAUACAAACUGUGUUAACUACAACUUGGUGAUCUAAACAUACAGGCCGUACUAACUAUAAACUUGGUGAUCUUAAACAUACAGGCUGUACUAAACUUCGUGAUCUUAAACAUACAGGACUGUACUAACUACAAACUUAGUGAUCUUAAACAUAGGGCAACGUUGCGUACCCGUGAAUCGAUCAUAUAUAUAUAUAUAUAGAAAUAGAAAUAGAUGAUUAUUUGGUCGAUAGCGAAGACCAGCAGGCAACACCAACAAAACGUUUUUUCAGGGAACUAAAUGUCCUUUAGUUGGGCGCCAGGGACAAAAUCACCGUGGGUCUUUUUUGCAAAGUGAAAAUGUUUGUUUUGGGAUAUCCGUAAAGUUAAGUCAGGCGUUAGGAAAGGAAGGAGAAUAGGUGAGACGCGGCCGCCGAUGCGGGUAAGGCAGCACGCGGCCGCCGGCGGCACGGACCGUGGCCUCCUACCUCACGCGAGCGGCCCUCCUACCUGCCGCGCCUCUCCGCGCGAGCUCGGACUCGAGGACACGGGCGCGGAGCGCGGAGGAACGUGGCGAGGCCGCCGGAGUGAGCGGUGUGCGGCAGCGGCCGCUGGUGUUCGUCGCUGGCAGCGUGGAGAGACGCGCGGUGGGGCUUCGGGGUCCGUGCGGCGCGACGGCAGGGGGCGUUGGGGCCGGAGGAGGAGCUGGAGCGGAGAGGCACGCUUGUUUGCUGCAGCGGCCGCCGCCGGAGCCGGUGGUACGAACUCGACUGCUCGCGGCUGGCGUGCCCCGAGUAGAGGCUCCACAAGCUGCACGAUCUGCUGUACUCGACGUCGCAGCAGCUACGGUCCCGCACCAGCGUAGCGCCGGCGGAGCGGACGGAGCAGAUGGACGCCCUGCUCCUACAACGGCGUCGGCAACACCUCGUGUAGCUCCGGGCGGAGCGGAGGGAGGAGGCGCCUCUGAGCCUUCGGUCGUCGCCGCGGCACCGACGGCAGGGGCGGCCGAGGUAGGGCGUGCGGUUGGCCGCGGAGGUGGUAGAGUACAUACGGUCGCCGCUGGUCCUCGUGCGCAAGGGUUGAGGGUGCCACGCACGAGUACCUAGAGCUCGGGCUGUGGUACCCGAGGCACGUGUUCCCCGGGAUGCCGGUCUAGAAGGCGGGACUGUUGAAACAGAAGCCGGUCAGGCCGCGGCCGUUGUUGACCCGGUUCCCGGUGAUGUGGCUCCCGCCCCUCGAGUAGCUGAGGAAGGAGCUGCAGCAGGCGCUCCUCCGGCUCUUAACGCGACGGAGGUUCCACACGGUGAGGGAGCCGCCCCCGUGGCCAAGGUUCUAGUCCCUCGUCAUGGGCCCGGCCUACUACGAGUGGAAGAGGCACAAGGGUAGAGGUUUCCAGAGACUGUGCCACCAGCUCGGGAUGUUGCAGUGAGAGAGCCAAGUGACCGACCACCUCUUGCGGCUGCUCACGUACCACGACCUGUUGUUCCGCGAGAUGCUGUAAACGAAGGCGUGGGAGUUCGACUGGUGUGGAUCGACAUUCGUUUAGACACUGUAGUUCGAUAUAAUGGACGGACAUGAAAAAAUGGACGGACAUGAAAAAAUGAUUACACUUACGAUUUACUUAUUUUCUCUAUCUCCUAAUUAUGUGACUGAGACCGAACCGUUGAAAUAUAACCAAAGAACUGGCUCUAAGACCAUUCUACCUUGGUACUAAACACUAUCAGAUCGCUAAUCAUCUUUCGCUUGACAUUUUAGUACACGAAACGUUGAGAACAGUAUUAGUAUAUGUAUCCUAAUCAAGUCAAAUUUCGUCCCUAAGUCUAACGAGAUGACACCGUGUGUAACAGUUAAUCAAUUCACUCUAGUUUUAUCUUCACGUCUAAACCACCGUUUUGUAAGAUAUCCACUCGUCAAUUGGCCAAACAACAAUGUUCCACGAGACCAAAAAAAUCGUGUGGUUAACCGACGUGUAACAUGAAGAUUAUCACUAAAAAAUAAUUACACUCUAGAUUCGAGUUAUCAAGUGUGUUGAACCCUCCGUUAGGACUUUUCCUCCUCUCGUGAACUUUAUCCGAAUCACUUCUCUUAAACUCUAUCGUGUUGGUUUGUAUAAACCCAACUGGUGACUUAUGGAUUACAGGGUCCCUUAAAGUUCCCACUCCUUCGACUCACUUGACAAAAGACGACUGUCAUCCACCACCUUACUCCUGUGAGAGGUUCUCUUGAAGAAUUGUGGUCUGUAGACCCACUAUUUCUUCUGGGGAGAACCUUUUAACCUGGUCCUAUACACCCACACUAGGUCUUAAAAUACGGACAGUCCCGAUUGAACGUGGAGGUAGGGAUGCGGGGAAACUAAUGUAAACGUUAAGUUAUACGUUUAUUCGACCUACGAACCUACGGGCACCACUCACUUCAUACCGAAAUCAGAUAGCCAAUUCGACUGAUUGACAAAGUUUUAGAACUUGAUUACAAAAAACACUGUGGACUUGACUUCAACCAGUACGAUUGUUUUGGAAGUUGAAUAAUCUUGUCUUUAACAUUGUCGUCAAAUCGAAUAACAAGACACUUCAUUGAUGACAACAUGGUCCUUUAAAACACGUGCACGUAAGUUAAUGUCCAAUAGGCUCGGACGAACGUGAACGUUGACUAGUUACGGCUAGGUCAACAAGAGUCCUAUCUAUUUUUAGUCAAGAACAAGUAAUAUCUCCCGUAGGUUGUAUUUAUUCUAAAAAUUUAGACUGUUUUGUAAAAAUAACAUGUUAAGUCAGACUUUCUAUUCUCGUUUGAAUAGACGGUGAUAUCUCCCUUAGUUUGCAUUUUAUCCACUGUACGUCUAUAACUGUAUGCUAAUGUAAAAAUACCGUAAUGAUUAGGUCAAUACCAAGGUAACAACAGCGUGUGGCUUGCAAGUUACUUAAAGAACUUCUUUUACACACCUCAGAAAACAACACACGAAGUUGGUCCAUUUUAGGAUAACCAAUAAGAUUAGUAUGUUAGAAGGCUAGGUUAAAACACUCGAAUCAUGUCAUCCUAAGAAUAAAAACAUUCCGAAGGGUCAUCUAUAUAACCUCGACGGGGAAGGAGAAGAUGACAAGAUAGAGAUGAAGAAAGGGAAGAUGAACUAUCAGUUUUUAAAUCAUGUAGAGGUACGAGUACCAAGAAGUCGUAUAUAUCAGAUGAUACAUUAAGAGACAUGUUGGGUAAAUUGAGACGUUGUCGGUGAUUUUAUAUAGACAUUCGAACGUAUCCUUAUUAAGUAAAAAAAUAACAACAAACCAAUAACACCAAGUGUCGGUUAAAGAAAUCCGAAAUUCGUAUACCAUCCUAAUGUGAUUGUUAGGCUCAUUUAUCAUAAACCAGGAAAACUAAUACAAAGUACCGUUAUUCAUACAAAGGAACACCACGUUAAACAAAGGACGUUGACUAUUGAGUUAAAAAAACGUCCCUCCAUUGAUGUAAAGAAGGCAACGACUUUUUCGACUCCACUUAAGAUACUGUCACUCCCAACUACUAUCCUCGUGUUCAUUAAGACUACACAGAAUCUAUUCUACGAUAUUCCUAAUGUAUUGAAAGAAAUGGUUAGUGUCAUGGCUGCCACCGUCCGGUACGAAAGAUAGACGUCAAGAGGUUGAUUUUCAGAUUGACGUCCUCAUACAUCUUAGAAGAAAUGAAUUGAUCGAAUAUGAGUGCCUGUAUAGCACUUCGUGUUCGUCGGAACGUUGGUGUUUGGAACAUCUGAAGAGAAAAGUAUAGGUUUGAAACGUUUGUAAAGUAAGUACAAAAAUUUGAAUAAGAUGCAAAUAAAAUCACGUGGUUCUUUUUUAUUUAAACACUGGUAAACACGAAUAGAUAAUG
rnacentral:rRNA from 1 species